GUACACUCCUGCGGGAGGCAGCAGUGGGGAAUUUUGGACAAUGGGCGAAAGCCUGAUCCAGCAAUGCCGCGUGAGUGAAGAAGGCCUUCGGGUUGUAAAGCUCUUUUGUCAGGGAAGAAACGGUGAAAGCUAAUAUCUUUUGCUAAUGACGGUACCUGAAGAAUAAGCACCGGCUAACUACGUGCCAGCAGCCGCGGUAAUACGUAGGGUGCAAGCGUUAAUCGGAAUUACUGGGCGUAAAGCGUGCGCAGGCGGUUUUGUAAGUCUGAUGUGAAAUCCCCGGGCUCAACCUGGGAAUUGCAUUGGAGACUGCAAGGCUAGAAUCUGGCAGAGGGGGGUAGAAUUCCACGUGUAGCAGUGAAAUGCGUAGAUAUGUGGAGGAACACCGAUGGCGAAGGCAGCCCCCUGGGUCAAGAUUGACGCUCAUGCACGAAAGCGUGGGGAGCAAACAGGAUUAGAAACCCUGGUAGUCC
rnacentral:rRNA from 1 species